UAUUUCUUCACUUUUCCUUAGGGUGUCCACAUCAGGACCCUGAGGCCAUCUUACCACCCUUCUGGAUCAGAAGAGGCCUUCAGACCCAGUGUCUACCGACCUUCAAACUACAACAGAGCUUUCAGGAGAAUGCGGAGAGACGGCUUCCCACCCGGACCUCACCAGAAACCCGCACACCCCAGCCACAUUGCUCCUCUUUCAGCCAGAAAGGACUCCAACUCCACCACUGGGAGGCCCCCCUUCCUGGUGCUGGGCAGUUGCAGAGGCUGUUCAUGGCAUCCCACAGGUGGCGACUGCCCCCCACCCUCCUUCUAGCACUUUAGAGGGUACCUCUGUGGCAGACACCAUGGCUAGGUUUCUCUUUCCAACUCCUGUUGGUCUGGCAAGUGACAGAUCAUCUUCACUACAUUAAUCAGUAGUCACCCGAACAUCCCUAUACUGUCCCCCAAUUCCUUUCAGCACCAGCUGCCUCCCCGAUUGGAAUUGUUCAAUAUGGAACUAGAUUAAAUUGAAGACUUGCCCUUUAGUUUUUAA